rnacentral:rRNA from 1 species
CUACGGGUCGCAGCAGUGGGGAAUAUUGGGCAAUGGGCGCAAGCCUGACCCAGCAACGCCGCGUGAGGGAAGAAGGUUUUCGGAUUGUAAACCUCUGUCCUUGGGGACGAAGAAGUGACGGUACCCAAGGAGGAAGCUCCGGCUAACUACGUGCCAGCAGCCGCGGUAAUACGUAGGGAGCAAGCGGUUGUCCGGAAUUACUGGGCGUAAAGGGUGCGUAGGCGGCAGAUUAAGUCAGGGGGGAAAUACUCGGGCUCAACCCGGGGGCUGCAUUUGAAACUGAUAUGCUUGAGUGUGAGAGAGGAAAGUGGAAUUCCUAGUGUAGCGGUGGAAUGCGUAGAUAUUAGGAGGAACACCAGUGGCGAAGGCGACUUUCUGGCUCAUAACUGACGCUGAGGCACGAAAGCGUGGGGAGCAAACAGGAUUAGAUACCCCCGUAGUC